UACGUAGGGGGCAAGCGUUGUCCGGAAUUAUUGGGCGUAAAGCGCGUGUAGGCGGCUCGGUAAGUCUGCUGUGAAAGUCCAGGGCUCAACCCUGGAACGCCGGUGGAUACUGUCGAGCUCGAGUCCGGAAGAGGCGAGUGGAAUUCCUGGUGUAGCGGUGAAAUGCGCAGAUAUCAGGAAGAACACCAAUGGCGAAGGCAGUUCUCUGGGACGGUACUGACGCUGAGACGCGAAAGCGUGGGGAGCGAACAGG
rnacentral:rRNA from 1 species